rnacentral:rRNA from 1 species
UACGUAGGGACCAAGCGUUGUCCGGAAUCAUUGGGCGUAAAGCGCGUGUAGGCGGCUUGGUAAGUCCGCUCUGAAAGCCCGGGGCUCAACCCCGGGAGGCGGGUGGAUACUGUCAAGCUCGAGUCCGGAAGAGGCGAGUGGAAUUCCUGGUGUAGCGGUGAAAUGCGCAGAUAUCAGGAGGAACACCAAUGGCGAAGGCAGCUCGCUGGGACGUGACUGACGCUGAGACGCGAAAGCGUGGGGAGCGAACAGG